UACGUAGGUGACCAGCGUUGUCCGGAUUUACUGGGCGUAAAGAGCGCGCAGGCGGUCGUUCAAGUCGAGUGUGAAAGCCCCCGGCUCAACUGGGGAGGGUCAUUCGAUACUGAUCGACUCGAAGGCAGGAGAGGGAAGUGGAAUUCCCGGUGUAGUGGUGAAAUGCGUAGAUAUCGGGAGGAACACCUGCGGUGUAGACGGCUUACUGGACCAUCACUGACGCUGAGGCACGAAAGCGUGGGUAGCAAACAGG
rnacentral:rRNA from 1 species